GCGUCGGUAGCUCAACGGAUUGAGAGCACAUGCCACUCGAUAGGGUGAAAUGAGGGUUCAUAUCCCGCCUGACGCG